rnacentral:rRNA from 1 species
CAAUAGCGUAUAUUAAAGUUGUUGCAGUUAAAAGCUCGUAGUUGGAUUUCGGAGUGGGCCAGUUGGUCCGCCGCAAGGUGUGUUACUGACUGGUUUGCUCUUCUUCGCAAAGACUGCGUGUGCCCUUAAAUGAGUGUGCGUAGGAUUUACGACGUUUACUUUGAAAAAAUUAGAGUGUUUCAAGCAGGCGAUUUGCUGGAAUACAUUAGCAUGGAAUAAUAGAAGAUGACCACCACGCAUUUUUUGGUAUAUUGCUGGAGGUAAUGAUUAACAGGGACAGUUGGGGCGAUUAGUAUUUAAUUGUCAGAGGUGAAAUUCAUUGAUUAAUUAAAGACUAACUUAUAGCGUAAGCAUUGCCAAAGGAUUGUUUCAUUAAUCAAGAACGAAAGUUAAGGGAUUCAAAGACGAUUCAGAU